CCUACGGGCGGCAGCAGUGGGGGAUAUUGCACAAUGGGGGAAACCCUGAUGCAGCGACGCCGCGUGGGCGAAGAAGUAUUUCGGUAUGUAAAGCACUAUCAGCAGGGAAGAAGAAAUGACGGUACCUGAGUAAGAAGCACCGGCUAAAUACGUGCCAGCAGCCGCGGUAAUACGUAGGGUGCAAGCGUUAUCCGGAGUUACUGGGUGUAAAGGGAGCGCAGGCGGCGCGGCAAGCCUGAUGUGAAAGCCCGCGGCCCAACCGCGGGACUGCAUUGGGAACUACCGGGCGGGAGUGCCGGAGAGGUAGGCGGAAUUCGUGGUGUAGCGGUGAAAUGCAUAGAGAUCACGCAGAAUCCCGAUGGCGAAGGCAGCCUUCCGGCGACCGACUGACGCUGAGGUGCGAAAGUGCGGGGAUCGAACAGGAUUAGAUACCCGUGUAGUC
rnacentral:rRNA from 1 species